CAUCGCACCCGCGGCAGGGAGGCUCGUUGGAGCUGAAGCAGGGAACCAUCACUGCACCGGACCGUAAAGAGGAACCAGGUUCUUUCACUGUCGCUUAUUGGAAAUAAUCACACUGAUCGAUCUGCCUUGAUUUGCCAGAGCACAAAUCAGUUUACGCAAGGAUUCUUUGGGAGAGGAUUAAAUGCUAACAUUAGAGCACUGACACGCGUGGAGCUAUUAUUGUUAUUAUUGUUAUUAUCAUUGGUAAAACUUGAUCACGAUGACAACAGCUGCUGGAUUCAACAGUCCAGCUGUGGAUCGCCCUGGAGGAUAUAAGGAAAUACUGUCUCUUACACGGGAUGAACGGUGUCUUAACACUGCCGCUGCCCCAAGUCCUGCUGCUGGACAAGCUGUUUUGUUGGACACACGAGUCUCUUGGGAUAUUUCACGCGUGUUCGCGGGUGGCCAGUGUUGUAGAUGGCCGAUAACGUGAUAUGCUUUUGGAAAUUUGUUGUGGUGGAUUUUGGCGCACGGGAAAGGAAUAUCCUGGAAUAUAUUUUGGAAGCGAUGCUCAGCAGAUGUCCAGCGAUUUGGAUAAUGACAGUGCGCAUCAACUCAUCCAGCAGUGAAGGAAUCCAAAUUCCUAGAAUAAGAUGUCAACCUUUAAUUGCUUCUCAGGGAUCUUCUGAUGAUCUCAGAUGAGCAACAAGAAGAGGUUGACUAAUGGAAACAUGAUCUCAAGGGAUUCAACAGGAUCAUACUAAAUCCUGGUUUGGACUGUGGACCAGCAAUCCCCUGCAGCAGAUGUUUGCUCCUGGCAUGGCAGCUGACAGCAUGAGCUCCAUCACUGACAAUCGUGCGCUCAGGAUCCAGCGCCAGCAGCUUGGACUUGGAGAAGCUGUGACAUAAACUCAGCAGGACAGGAGAGUGUAUUCUGCUGCUCAGACAUUAUGGAACAGAUCAGUCAGCCCUGUCUGGGGAGGUGCUCGAUAGGAAAGUCGAAACUCGAUGAAUGUGCGUUUACCAUAGUCACCACAAUGAAUCUACAUAUUAUUUGACUUUGUCUUAAUUGAACCUGGAUUAAUAUUUUCCUGUAUAUACAUCUGCUUCUGAUAUCCACUGUUUAUUCACACUGUUGCUCAUACACUUGUACUGUAGUUGUGACAUUUACUGUGUUAUUCUGGGACCCGUAUCAACAAGUGCUGGAACCGUAAAUGGAAAAUAAUCAGAUGCUAUUUUCAUUUUUAAGACUAUUUUAACAAACUGAAGGCAGCGCUUGCAACAGCGCAGGCACAUUCUGUCUGGUGAAGAGCACAAUAAAUGUCUACUGUUGUGUAGGACAAAUAUAUACAUAUGUGGUCAAGAUUCCUUGCAAUAAUUACUCAUAUGAUUACUGGAAAUGUACAUAAUCAUCUUCUAAGGUCAAUAACAAAGAAGCUAUUAUCUAAAAGGUGCUGAUGAAUGCAAAUCAAAAACCUCUUCUAUUGACACUGUGUUUCACUGUGACAGAUUGACAGCCCGUCAUAUUGCUUAAUAACCCUGUCAAGCUGCUUAUUCUCAUGAUGAUUUGUAACUCCAUAACUUUUGUUGCGUCUGUGAAACCCUAUUAACAGAAAUAAUAAUAAAACAAAGUGUA